UUCACUUACCUAGAAGAGGGAUCUAUUGAUAACUUUAUCUAGUUAUCAACGAUAUUUAUUAAGUAGUACUCUAUGUUCAUUCUGCACACAGUCACUAAUGCCCACCUAUAGAAUCCUUCUCAGGCUGCGAAUGAGCCGCUUUGGAAGUACAUCGUUUCAUUCAAAGAAAAUCAUGUUCCAGAUUCCAGAACUAUCAAACUCAGCGACAUUGUCUGCCCUAAAAAAUGGGCUUUGGCACGAGUCAUGUUUCUGCGAGGAACCGACCGUCAACCGACCCGUAACAAUCCAAGACGCAUUUCAUCAAACUUCAAAUAGAUUAAUGCUGAAGAAAAGCAGGCAACUCUUGUUAAAAAAUUCAGGUUUAUUGAAUGCUUGACGGUGUUGAGGAAAUUUGGAUAUCAGUUGCACGAUUAAGAAGAUCAUGGAGGCUGAAGUAUAAGCUCAAGAUGAAAGUAUAUAUAUUGAAGUCUUUUUAAUCGAUAUUUAAAAGGAGGAAUUGUAAGAGACGAGUGCAAAGUCUUGCAAGAACUGUCUCAAGUUUCUUCACUUCUAGACGGGUAAACUGCUAAGCAUAAAGCAUGUUGAUUUAGUAUUAACAACUGAAAAAACAUCCGGGAAAUGACGAACGCAGAGGGAACAAACUACAUUAACAAACAAGAACUAGUAAAGUUCUGACUCACCUAUUUGCAUCAUAAGAAGAAGGUACAUCUAAAGGAAGCUCAUGAGUCAUGAGUAUAUAAGGGGAAUAUUCAUAUUGAUCUCUAAGGGUUUAUGAUAAGUUAAGUUGCAUAGAGUGUUUUUCAGGAGAAUAUAUAAGAAUUCAAAUGAAGCAGAGAAAAGUGUGCAAACGAAGAUCAAUUAAAAUCACCUAUAAAUGUGUAGUGACAAGUAUGAGAAGGAUAUGUUUAAUUAAUGAUGUGUGUAGAUUAGUCAUUACAAAAUUAUGAGGGGAGAUAAAUUUUAGAGCGAGAAGCUUUGGAGAAUUAUGUCUCUAAGUUGUGGUUGAUGUUUUACUAUUUUUGUUGUACAUCGUUCAUACUUGUACAAUGUAGUUCAUAGUUUUACUAUAUAAAACCUAUCAGUGUAAGAUGUAUGCGCCAAGAUAAGACUACAAACAAGAAGUAUUGUUGAGUGGUAUAAAAGAAGAGAGAGUACAUUUCAUAGUCUCAGGAAUAUCACAUGAUAGUGGAUGUGAGACAAGUUCAAAAGAGCUUAAAGUAUUUCAAAUUUGUUAGUGUGAACGUUUUGCUGAUUUAAAAGGGUUUGAUCAAGUUUAAUUUGUGCAAAUAAAUUUAUUUCAAAAUAAGUUAGGCAACAUGUUCUCUUCAUAACAAAAGCGGUGCAAAGUGAUGUUCAAAGUUCAAACAAAUCACUAUAAGUACAAUCUUUGAUUAAAAACAUAUUUACCACUAAUAUUCGAAAAAAUUAAGCAUAUGUGAUCCAAGGGUGUGUGCAUAUGAUUUAAGUGAGACUUUGAUUCAAAGCUCAGUGUACAUGAGGUGGAUCAAAAGGCCGACAAGAGAAAUAAUCUAUAAAAGUUUAAAGGUAUCCAGGCUAUGAAUGAAACAAAAGGAUCAUUAGAACAAAAACUUUGAGAGAUAGUAAAGACACAAAAUCGGGAUUAGACAAGAAUACGUCAUGGAGAUUUAUGGAUACUAACUCUCACACAUGUAAACUGUUGGGGGUCUCACGACUUCAUCCAUGCCUCAAGUUUUUUCCAGGACAUGGAAAUGUUGAACUUUCCUCUCAACAACAGUGUUAACACACUGACUGAAAUGAGCAGUAUCAGUCACAACACACGAAUACUAGCUACCGUUAACUUAAACUCUUGUAAGCACGACUCAUUGUUAAAACCUAAAAACCUAUAAACAAAACCUAACAAAGAAUUGGAACCUGAGGAUAAUACUCACUCGCCAUGAAAUCACCAUAUUUAAGUCCAACCCAGGCAUAUAUCUCCGUCGGCGGGAUAAUUGUUGGAAUAGAUUUCUUUUCUAAUCAAGAAAAUGGAAAUUCUCAAGAAAAGAAAAUUCUCAGUUGGAAUAAGCUUAUUAUCUUCAUUUCUUGAAUUUCAACUUUUCUUGAUUAGAAAACUAAUAUACUCCAACAAUUAUCCCGGUGAAGAUAUUUACCUGGUUGGACUUGAAAUGUGUUGAUUUCAUGGCAAGUGAGUCUUAUGAUUUAUCGGAUUCCAAUUCGAUUUGGGUUUUUAUUUCUAAGUUGUAACAGUGAGUCGUACUUAAAAACGUUUAACUUAACGGUUAACUGGUAUGAGAUGAUGUGUUUGAUAAUGCUCAUUUCACUCAGUGGAUCAACACUAUUGUUAAACGGAAAGUUCAAUAUUUUCAUAACUUGGACAAAAUUUGGGGGCUGGAUGAAGUGGUGAUACCUCCAACACUUUAUAAGUGUGAGAGCUUGGUAUCCUUAUCUCGGUGACGUAUACUUGCCUAAUCUCAAGUUUGUGUUUUUACUUUCUCUCAAAGUUAUCGUUUUACUUGAAGUUAAGUCUCAAAAUUUUGUGUUAAAAGAAGUGAUAUUGUAAUAUUUGAUGGCUCGGGAAUGGAUGAUUGCUUUGACGAUUUUGUUCAUUGAUGGUUGAUCAAGUGCUUGGAUCUUGGAAUCGUCAUCGGAUUCUCAAGAUAUAUGAGUGUGGUGGAAACUGUAAAGCAAGUGGAGGGUCCAACACAACCUUACUCAAUUGUCACUUGUAAGGCCGUAAGUAGUUACUAAUUAGUCACCAGGGUUGGACACGGGACGGGUAUCCUUAAAUUUUGAGAUAUCCUUUACUCGACAUGAUCCUUACAAGUAGUAAAAGAAAUUUACUCUUACUCGAUCAUCUAAUAACGGGUACCCGGUAAAAAUCGCUGACCCGCUAUAUAUCUGACAUUUUACCCUUACCCGCUAUAUAUCUGACCUUUUACCCGUACCCGCAUAUUUAUUGAUAAUUAUGUAUAAAAAUAUUUUUCGUAGUUGCAUAAUAAUUUCAUAUUCCAAAACAUAAAUAUUUAUUUUUUAAAAAAAAAGAAAGAACUCAAAAAUAUAUGCACUAUAUAAUUGAAAAAAAUAUAAAAUUAUAUACUUAGGCUUUAACUUCCACUCUAUGAUAUAUUUAUAAAAUUUUAGUAGUAUUAAAAUAUACUAACAAAGCCUUAUUAGUCACCAACAAAAAGGAUAAAAGGGUCUAUCUACUUCUUUUGUUCUCUGCUACCAGAGAAACUAUUUACUAACUUCAAACAAAAUGAUAUUUAACUUAUCUAAUAAUUUUUAUAUAAUCACCUUAUAUUAUAUAUACAUAUAUAUUCAUACAAAUAAUAUUUUUCUACGAACCUAUAUUCGUAAAAUCAUACUUAAAACGAGAAUUAAAUUAAAAUUAAUAUUUUUUGAAGUAUAGAAAUUUAAAUUAAUUUUCAUAAAUAUUUGAUAACAAAUUUAUCACAUAUAAUUAUACCUUAAAAUUAAAAGACAUGGAUGUGGAUGGAGUUUGGAUGGAUUCAUGAUUACAUCAACUAGAUCCAGGAUCUUGGCUUUCAAAAUCUUAUUUUUCGAAUGUAAUAUCCCAAAUCCUGAAUAAAAUGACCAUAUUUAGUUUAUCUCAAAUCCGUUUAACUAUUUUUUCUUUCAAAUCUUCAUUGAUUUAAUCACAAAUAACUAAUCAAUAAAAAAAAAAAUAUCUAGAUGCGGAUGAUCAUACUUUUAAAUUGACAAACAUAGAUAUCGAUUUAGUUUGGACAGAAUCAUGAUAUGAUUAGCUAUAUCUUGACCGUUCACCUUCAAUAUCUUAAAUCUUCAUAUCUCAAAUCCUUAACAAUUUGACCAUAUUUGGUUUGCUAAAAUACGAUUAGCUCUUUUUCUUCUUCUUUUUUAAAAAAAUUUAAAUCCUUAUUGAUCUAAUUACAAAUGUCGAACCAAAUAAGAAAACAUGUCAAGAUGCGGAUAAUCAUACCUUAAAAUCGAGAAACAUAGAUAUGGAUUGAUUUUGAACAGAUUCAUGAUUUCAUCAAGUAGAUCCAGACCGUUGACCACCUUCAAUAUCUUAUUUUUCGAACACGCAAAAUCUCAAGUCAUGAACAAUUUGACCAUAUAGUUUACGCAAAUCCAAUUAACUUAUUAUUAUUAUUAUUAAAAUUCUGAUGGAUCUAAUCACAAAAAGAAUAACAAUAUAAGAAAACAUAUCUAGAUGCGGAUAAUCAUACCUUAAAAUCGAGAGACAUAAAAUAUGGAUUAAGCUUGAACGGAUUCAUGACUUCAUCAGCAAGAUCCAUGCUGUUGACCGCCUUUUUACCAUAUAGUUUACCCAAAUCCAAUUAACUUUUUUUUUAUUAUUAAAAUUCUUAUGGAUCUAAUCACAAAAAGACUAACAAUAUAAAAAAAACAUAUCUAGAUGCGGAUAAUCAUACCUUAAAAUUGAGAGACAUGGAUAUGGAUUGAGCUUGAACGGAUUCAUGACUUCAUUAGCAAGAUCCAGACUAUUGACGUUCAAUAUCUUAUUUUUUGAAGGAUGUCAGAUCUCAAAUCUUAAAAUAUUUUUUUAGGAGAUACGGCGAAUUACAGUUCAUGAACCUUAUAUAUACAA
rnacentral:lncRNA from 1 species